rnacentral:rRNA from 1 species
UACGAAGGGGGCUAGCGUUGCUCGGAAUCACUGGGCGUAAAGGGCGCGUAGGCGGCGCAACAAGUCACUUGUGAAAUCUCCGGGCUUAACCCGGAGCGGCCAAGUGAUACUGUCGUGCUAGAGUGCGGAAGGGGCUACUGGAAUUCUCGGUGUAGCGGUGAAAUGCGUAGAUAUCGAGAGGAACACCUGCGGCGAAGGCGGGUAGCUGGGCCGACACUGACGCUGAGGCGCGAAAGCCAGGGGAGCAAACGGG